ACAGAAAUCACCUUACGUCACACAUACGUCGUCACAUGCGUUUGGGUGCCCGGUCGGCGGGGUAAUAGCCACUGCGAAUCGAGUCAAUGCAUGGGACGUAUGGAGGCCCAACC
rnacentral:sRNA from 1 species